rnacentral:lncRNA from 1 species
GCGGCUCCGGUCUCCGGGCGUACUCCGCUCUCUUAAGAGUUCCUUUUCUCCAGGUCACCGAAUUGUCCCCGACCCCUUUCCUUAAGAUCGGCUUGUGACCUGCCAGGGGUUUCUGCUGUGAAUGGCCGCUUGUACUAUGAUAAUCACCUUGCGAUCAAAGUUUUCCUCCAGUGAACUUGUGCCCAGAAUAAGGACGCCAUAUUCUCAAGAGUUCCUUCAUCCACUUCCGCCGUACGAUCUCUCUCAUCGGUGAAUGCUUUCUCUCUUCCGCCCCAAUGUUCGCUGAUUGGUAUUCUUCAAAGACCAAACGCGCUUCUCUCGGCACCACUGAUUGGCUUGAUUUUAGUUCCUGAAGAAUUUGCUAGCCAUUUGCAGACCACCGUGUCGCACCUGUGAGCAGCAGUAGGGCCCGCUGGGUCUCCUGGCCAACCAGCACGAUCUGCUUGAAGCUCAUGGAGUGGUGGAAUGUCAUCUUGAAGACCCGCUGCCCACUGGACUGCAGAUAGACCUCCACACAGUCACAGGCCCGGCUACCGGUGGAGCCCACCACUGCCUGCUGUUCCCGAGUAGCCAAAACAUAGAGGUACUUCCGGUAA